rnacentral:lncRNA from 1 species
AUGAACACUUAUCCACUUUUACAUGAGAAUAUUGCCAAUUCGUUUUUUUCAAAAAUGUUAGAAACUAAUUUUAUGCGUGUCCAGUGGGAACAUCGUUUAUGGAUAAAAACAAAACAUUUCCCCUGCAGGAAAAUGACAGCUGCAGAUGCGAGAAUGGACACUGGGCUUCCGGUCAGCUCGUCUAAGGAUACAUUUAAAAUAAGUAAUGUUAGUUUUAUGGAAGUUGCACCUUUACAGAUUAAAAUUACAAAGUGGGGUGGGGGGAAUCACACAAUAAAAUAUUUGUAUUAUAUUAGAAUGGAGUUUUUCAGCAUUUACAUUAAUCUUCUUCAUUGAUCUGUCCACGUUUAUAUAGACCCUUUUACUGUUUGUACACAAUGAUGACGUAGCAACGUAUGUGCACACAUUUUGGCAACAAACUAUGGCGAGAAUCAGCAGCAUGUCAAGCUACGCGAGUGGAUUAAGCAACAGAGAAAGUUAUUAUAAAAAGUUGACUUUAUCAAAUGGUAUUUGGCUACCAGAUCCGUGUACUAUAGUGGAGUGGAUAGAAGACGUUAGCAGAUGGCCAAAUAUACAGUGGCCGGAUAUAUAUAGGUAGUUCUAUGAGAAACCGAGCGUGUACACCCGGAGGAAAUUACAUGCAUAUAAAUCACUGGAUGCUUAUGAAUACAUUGUCUGUGGGCAUGUACAGAACGUCAAAUACCAUGACAUAGACUCAGUUUUGUGUGUUAAAAUCAGAAAUUCUCCCUAGUCAAAGACAAGGACACAAGGCAACGAUGUAUGAGGCUUGGGUUAUAAUCAACCAAUGAGUAUAAUGUUAGUUUGAAUAGGUCUGCGUUUGUCUUCAGGUUAGUUACUUUAGAAAUUACAUUUGUUUGUUGUCUAUUGUACACCUGUGUGUUUAAAGCUCUGAUGUGAACAUUAUGCAGCACAGUAACUGUCUUUUUGAUGCUCUAUUAUCAGUGUUGACAGAUGAUGACAUCCGGGAACUCCAGGUUGUGGACCCCAGAGCUGGAGAAUAGUGACACAGACACCGCAUCAUCUGACACUGAUUCAGAGGAGCAUCCUGACUUACCGGAGUAAUAAUCUAUUGUAUUGUGUUAUGAAUCUGGUCCAUGUUACCCAGAGCUACCUUUAUUGUUUGUUUUCCUUCAUUCUUUCCUACAUUUAUUCUUAUUCUUCACCCAGACCUACAUUUAUCCUUUUCCUUACAUUUUAUGUUGUUGUUAUUGAUUUGUAUGUGUCGACGCACUUUUGUUUAAAGUUUAAUUUGGUAAUGCUAUAGUACUUUAAUAGCAAGUUUCAAGUACAGUAAAUAUGUUUUACAAAUGUAAAUCUUUUUAAAACUAAAACAUGGUAAAUGUGUUACUCAUUUGGAAACAACACUCUUACAGAGGUUUGUGAGGGCACCACAUAGAGUCACAACAUCGUCUAGCAUGUUUACCUGCGACACAGGAAUAACUGUUUGCAAAAUCUUUUCUUCCACCUACCAAUCGCUCCACAUGGAUUCUCACACGAGAAAGUUGUCUAGAUGUGUCAACUUCCUGUGCAGAAAGCUGCUUUUUUCCUUUUGUGAAAUGAGGGAUACGAAGGGUUGCACCAUAAGCUGCAAGCUCGUCUCUGAUGAGAAAACCUCAUCGCUAGGCUCCAAAAGUUCUAAGAAACCUGACUCUUUUGUGAUCUGCUUGUCUGAAACCGUCCACCCCACCCAGGAGAUAGAAAAGAAAUUGCACCAGCUGGAGGGAUAGCUAUUAAAUAUUUGAUGGUGUUGUUGUGUUUAUAAUUUGACCAUGUCUGGGCCCUAGCAGUCAGAUUACUGGGUCUAGCUAUGAACAUUUCUGUGCAGUCUAUUAUGCACCGGCAGAUUUUAAAGUUCUGCUUGAAUGUUUUUGGCAUAUUUUUAGGUAUUGCGCCAUUUAAUUAGUGGCUUAAGGACCAAGGCCAUACCAGGGACCCAGCUCCGCAAAAUAUUUGAAAUCGUGGUUUUUGAUACCUUAAAUCUAUAUGCCAAGUCAGUAUUACAUAUGCCCAAACUUAAUUUCAUCAACAGGUGGUCUUCUAGUGUAAGUUUUUGCAUAAUUAUUUCUAAGUUGCCUGUUAUUUUUGUAACCAGCCACUCAAAGAGCAUGGAGGUCAUUCCUGUGAGAAAAAACAACUGUCCAAUGUUGCACUUAACAGCGGUGUAGGGAAAAGUAGAUUUAUGCAGCUCCUCUUUCAGCUUUACAUUUUCUGCUUGUAGUGUGUCAAACUUGUGACACAGGUGUACAUAGUCCUCCUGAAGCUGACUGUGUCUCCGGUUCAGGUCAUCAUACUCCCUCAUUGUAACUGGGAUGUCGUCUUCAGCUUUAAUAAAGAAAAGUAAAAAAUUAGCAUAUGCUGCAACCAAUGCAGACAAUUUCACAAUUGGGGGUUCUCACAUUUUAGCAAAUUGUUUUUUUUUUCAUUUCUUAAUAGAAAAGAAGAUACUUUAUUGAUCACCGGGUG